UGUUUUGAGGUGUAAGAUGCACAUGAAUUUUUGGUUUUCAAGGAUUAAGUUUAAUUCUUAACAGAACAG
rnacentral:tRNA from 1 species